rnacentral:rRNA from 1 species
UACAGAGGUCCCGAGCGUUGUUCGGAUUCACUGGGCGUAAAGCGUGCGCAGGCGGUGAUGUAAGACAGUUGUGAAAUCCCCGGGCUCAACCUGGGAACUGCAUCUGUGACUGCAUUGCUGGAGUGCGGCAGAGGGGGAUGGAAUUCCGCGUGUAGCAGUGAAAUGCGUAGAUAUGCGGAGGAACACCGAUGGCGAAGGCAAUCCCCUGGGCCUGCACUGACGCUCAUGCACGAAAGCGUGGGGAGCAAACAGG